UUCUUCCAGCACAGGCGGACGAGCUGCCAGCCACGCGCGCGGCGAACACCUGAGCAGGUCCCGCGCGGUACUGAGGGAGAGUGACAGCGGCUCAGUCCGAGCGCGAGCGGGCGGCCGUGCCACCGCGGUACGUACGGUCCAGGAAAGCGGCACCGACCCGAACCGACCAGCUCACCGUGUUCCGUCCCGCUAUUCUACUCUGAACAGUGGUGGUGGUGGUCUGGUGGCAUGGACAUUGCGCUCUUCCCCUGCAUUUCCACCCCGAGGGGAAUACUGCUUUUUACUGCCCACGCUUUCUUUUUGUUAAUAUUUCUCAAUGCCCUACCGGCGGUAUUAAUAGCAGCCUAAUAUUCUCCCAGUCUAACCCUUCGCUAGCCUCUGUCUCCCUGCUUUUUCUUUGUCCUGACUCUGGCUACCAGUCUCCCUCCUCCUCCUCUGCCUGCCUCUGCUGGCGGGGCUGCGGCGCAGACACACAUAAUAAAGCCAAGGCAGGCAGUGCUUGGCUGGAAAUGUAGCCGCGUCCCAGCAGGGGGAUGUGAGAGAAGGGUCCCGGCGGGGGAGCGCUCUGAUCCCGCAGGGAGCAGCUCGGCACAGCCCGGGUUGGCUGAGGCAGAGAGGCAGGAUAGAGGCAGGCUGGGCUGACUGGAGAGAGAGGGGAGGCGGAGGGCAGAGUUAGGCAACAGCGCCUAGCUGUGGCCGACCGGCCCAACUGCAGCAGGGACUCGGAGAAUACAGAGGAAGGAGACAGAGGGAAAAUAUGGACUUGGAUUUAAGUUGGAUAUGGAGGUGGCUCUGGAGUCAAGAGGUUCAAUAAGUAAAUCUGACGCAGAUAAUGAGGGUUGCUAAACAGCAGAAGCUGUCGGAUGAUUAUUUGAACACUAUCAACCGGCAACCAGUGUCACAACAAGUCACUCUUAGGCCCCAAUAGAAAUCACACAGUUUUUUUAUGUUUGUAUCCCUGCAUUAAACAUGCCUGCUGAAUUUAACACCAUGCUCCACUCUUGUGUGGCUUUACUAGUUAGGCACAUUUCAAGCUUUAACAGGAAGUGUGUCUUUUUUUUAUAGAGAGAGGACGGAAACAAUGAAUUCAAUAAAUUGACACAGCGUAGCUACAGUAACAUUUAAGUUCAAGGCAUUUUUUGGCUCACUUCACAAUAUUUUCACACCAGUGGUUGACGGAGACACAUUCCCUGGAAUUUUGUUUUGCCAGCUGCCUCGUGGAAAUUCACCUAAAAUUCAUGCAGCUGUUGGACAGACGCACACUUACAGCAGAGGCGUGUCUGUCAUGAUUCUGUGUCAGAAAAAACUCAAUUGCCCUUUAAUGCGUGGAGGUGUGCGUUGUGACACCUUCAUAUAAUAGAGCCCAACUCUGAUCUUGGCAGAUAUCUGUUGGAAUUUAUUUUCGUGUGACUUGUAAUUUAUCCUUUAAGAAAAUAGUAUUUCACCAUUAGUCAUGUCAGCAAAAAUGAAUAAUAAAAAAUAAUGAGUGUGUCUGAUGGCA